CUGUUUACCUGGCCAGGGAGAUACCAUAGUCCCAAAGGUGGUUUUCCCAGGCAAAGCUCAUCCAUUACAUUCAGAAUGUGCUGACCCUUGCAAUUUCCCCAAAUGUGGGAAACUCAACCACAUAAUGUGUGGUAAUGGGGGACUGUGUUCUUGUUCUCCCUUG